GAACACGAGGGUGAUCUGGCUGUGACAUCUGUCACCCCAUUGAUCGCCAGGGUUGAUUCGGCUGAUCUGGCUGGCUAGGCGGGUGUCCCCUUCCUCCCUCACUGCUCUUUGGGCAUCCCUUCUGAAGCUGCACGCUCAGUGGAAGAGGAAGAGCAUCCCCAAUAGAAGAGGACCGUUCUUUGGUCAAGGUAUAGGAGUAGCUGCGCUCUCCUGCUAGAACCUCUAACUAAACAAGCUCUCAGGAUGGAACAAUGUGCUGGAGGUCCCAAAAUCUCAAGCUUUUAUUG
rnacentral:snRNA from 1 species